UACGUAGGGGGCAAGCGUUGUCCGGAAUCAUUGGGCGUAAAGCGCGUGUAGGCGGCUUGAUAAGUCUGCUCUGAAAGCCCGGGGCUCAACCCCGGGAGGCGGGUGGAUACUGUCAAGCUCGAGUCCGGAAGAGGAGUGUGGAAUUCCUGGUGUAGCGGUGAAAUGCGCAGAUAUCAGGAGGAACACCAAUGGCGAAGGCAGCACUCUGGGACGUGACUG
rnacentral:rRNA from 1 species